CCCCCUAUCGGUUUUGGAAGUUAAAAAGUCUAACAAGGUCUCCGUUGGUGAACCAGCGGAGGGAUCAUU
rnacentral:rRNA from 1 species